GAUCCUGGCUCAGGACGAACGCUGGCGGCGUGCUUAACACAUGCAAGUCGAACGAGAAUCUGUGGAAAGAGGAUUCGUCCAAUUGAAGCAGAGGACAGUGGCGGACGGGUGAGUAACGCGUGAGGAACCUGCCUUUCAGAGGGGGACAACAGUUGGAAACGACUGCUAAUACCGCAUAACAUAUAGAUGUCGCAUGGCAUUUAUAUCAAAGAUUUAUCGCUGAAUGAUGG
rnacentral:rRNA from 1 species